rnacentral:tRNA from 1 species
UCUAAUAUGGCAGAAAUAAUGCAGUGAACUUAAACCCCACUUAUAAAGAAUUACUUUUUUUAGAA